GAGUUUGAUCAUGGCUCAGGACUAACGUUGGCGGCAUGCAUCAUACAUGCAAGUUGAGCGAUCGGACUUUUGAAGCUUGCUUUAGAAGUUACGGAGCAGCGGACGGGUGAGUAACGCGUAGGUAACCUGCCUUACAGUUUGGGAUAGCUGGCCGAAAGGUCAAUUAAUACUGGAUACGACGGAGAUUUCAAAUGUUAACUCCGGGAAAGAGGCUUUCGGGCCUCGCUGUAAGAUGGACUUGCGUACUAUUAGCUGGUUGGUGGGGUAAUGGCCUACCAAGGCUCUGAUGGUUAGCCGGCUUGAGAGAGUGAACGGCCACACUGGAACUGAGACACGGUCCAGACUCCUACGGGAGGCAGCAGUAGGGAAUCUUCGGCAAUGGGCGAAAGCCUGACCGAGCAAUGCCGCGUGAGGGAUGAAUGCCUUCGGGUUGUAAACCUCUGUCAUUAGGGAAGAAAGUGCAUAUCAGGAAAUGGGUGUGUAUUGACGGUACCUAAGGAGGAAGUCACGGCUAAUUACGUGCCAGCAGCCGCGGUAAUACGUAAGUGGCAAACGUUGUCCGGAAUCACUGGGUGUAAAGCGCAUGUAGGCGGCCAAGUAAGUCUGAGGUGAAAUCCAUCGGCUCAACCGAUGAACUGCCUUGGAAACUGCUAGGCUAGAGGGUCAGAGGGGAAAGUGGAAUUUCAGGUGUAGCGGUGAAAUGCGUAGAUAUCUGAGAGAACACCAAUGGCGAAGGCAGCUUUCUGGCUGACUCCUGACGCUGAGAUGCGAAAGCUAGGGUAGCGAACGGGAUUAGAUACCCCGGUAGUCCUAGCCCUAAACGAUGAAUACUAGGAAAUGGGUUUUUGACUCGGUUCCGAAGCAAACGCGUUAAGUAUUCCACCUGGGGACUACGACCGCAAGGUUGAAACUCAAAGGAAUUGACGGGGGCCCGCACAAGCGGUGGAGCAUGUGGUUUAAUUCGAUGCAACGCGGAAAACCUUACCUGGACUUGACAUCCCUGGCCCGCCUAAGAAAUUAGGUUUUUACGGUUUCGUAACCGGGUGACAGGUGGUGCAUGGCUGUCGUCAGCUCGUGUCGUGAGAUGUUGGGUUAAGUCCCGCAACGAGCGCAACCCCCGUGUUUAGUUACUAACAGGUCAAGCUGAGGACUCUAGACAGACUGCUGGUUCUACGCCAGAGGAAGGUGGGGACGACGUCAAGGCAUCAUGCCCCUUACGUCCAGGGCUACACACGUGCUACGAUGGUGCAUACAGAGGGCUGCGAGACAGUAAUGUUAAGCCAACCCCUUAAAGUGCGCCUCAGUUCGGAUUGAGGGCUGCAACUCGCCCUCAUGAAGGUGGAAUCGCUAGUAAUCGCGAAUCAGCAUGUCGCGGUGAAUACGUUCCCGGGCCUUGUACACACCGCCCGUCACACCACCCGAGUCGGGUGCUCCCGAAGUCGCAUACUUAACUAGUUUACUAGAGGGAUGUGCCGAAGGAGUGCUUGGUAAGGAGGGUGAAGUCGUAACAAGG
rnacentral:rRNA from 1 species